rnacentral:rRNA from 1 species
CAGCAGUGGGGAAUUUUGGACAAUGGGGGCAACCCUGAUCCAGCAAUGCCGCGUGUGGGAAGAAGGCCUUCGGGUUGUAAACCACUUUUGGCAGGGAAGAAAUUGGCCUGGUUAAUACCUGGGCUGGAUGACGGUACCUGCAGAAUAAGCACCGGCUAACUACGUG